rnacentral:ncRNA from 1 species
AACCUAUACAGAUGUAUCAACGCAAGACAGUUGAGCAUCUCCCUGUAGGAACAUGUUUUAAUAGAAGCAUUGAUGAUAAGUCUUAUUGUGUAGAUUAUGAGUUGAAAUAAGAUGAGUCAAUGUGGAAUAGGUCAACCGUGAGACCUUGAAUUGGAAAAUUCUAAAAUAGACCUAGAAAUGGAGAUUUCUGAAAUUUCGUAUUUUCUAGUUACGGUAGA